GAAUAUGAAGGUGAUCUGGCUCUGGCAUCUUUCACUCCAUUAAUCAGCCAGAGUUGAUUUGGCUUACCUGGCAAGCCAGACAGGUACCCCCUCCUCACACUGUUACAUGUUCCUUGCAAAGCUGCCUGCUCAGUGAAUGAGGACAGCUUUUUCCUCAAAGAAAAGGAGCACUCUUCAGUUGAAGCUAUAGAUGUCUGUACUUCAGUGCUAGCUUCUCCAAAUAACCCCAAAUAAUAGCUGUUUGGUUUUUGUACCAACCUAUGCUUCAUAUAAAAAAUAAUGUUUAAUUUUAAAAUCCUGGAUUUU
ensembl:misc_RNA 7SK 7SK RNA